CAGGGAUUGCCCUAGUAACGGCGAGUGAAGCGGCAACAGCUCAGAUUUGAAAUCUGGCGUCUUUGGCGUCCGAGUUGUAAUCUGUAGAGGAUGCUUUUGGGUAGCCACCGGUCUAAGUCCCCUGGAACGGGGCGUCACAGAGGGUGAGAAUCCCGUAUGUGACCGGAAGGGCGCCCUCUACAUAGCUCCUUCGACGAGUCGAGUUGUUUGGGAAUGCAGCUCUAAAUGGGAGGUAAAUUCCUUCUAAAGCUAAAUACCGGCCAGAGACCGAUAGCGCACAAGUAGAGUGAUCGAAAGAUGAAAAGCACUUUGGAAAGAGAGUUAAAAAGCACGUGAAAUUGUUGAAAGGGAAGCGCUUGCAACCAGACUUGUUGGCGGUGUUCCGCCGGUCUUCUGACCGGUUUACUCACCGUCUGCAGGCCAGCAUCAUCUGGGGCCGCUGGAUAAAAGCGAGGGGAAUGUGGCUCCCCCGGGAGUGUUAUAGCCCCUCGUGCAAUACAGCGAGCCUCGGGUGAGGUCCGCGCUUCGGCUAGGAUGCUGGCGUAAUGGUCGUAAGCGGCCCGUCUUGAAACACGGACCAAGGAGUCUAACAUCUAUGCGAGUGUUCGGGUGUCAAACCCCUACGCGUAAUGAAAGUGAACGGAGGUGGGAGCCUUAGGGUGCACCAUCGACCGAUCCUGAUGUCUUCGGAUGGAUUUGAGUAAGAGCAUAGCUGUUGGGACCCGAAAGAUGGUGAACUAUGCCUGGAUAGGGUGAAGCCAGAGGAAACUCUGGUGGAGGCUCGCAGCGGUUCUGACGUGCAAAUCGAUCGUCAAAUUUGGGUAUAGGGGCGAAAG
rnacentral:rRNA from 1 species